UUCGUAGGCGGUGUAGCAAGUCGGGAGUGAAAUCUCUGGGCUUAACCCGAGAGGCUGCUUCCGAAACUGCUGUGCUGGAGUGUGGGAGAGGCGCGUGGAAUUGCAGAUGUAGCGGUGAAAUGCGUAGAUAUCUGCAGGAACACCCGUGGCGAAAGCGGCGCGCUGGACCACUACUGACGCUGAGGAACGAAAGCUAGGGGAGCAAACAGGAUUAGAUACCCUGGUAGUCCUAGCCCUAAACGAUCAGGACUUGGGGUGCCGCCCGUUCGGGCGUCGUCCCGGAGCUAACGCGUUAAGUCCUGGCACCGUGGGGAGUACGGUCGCAAGACUGAA
rnacentral:rRNA from 1 species